rnacentral:RNase_P_RNA from 1 species
GACCUCCGGGAAAGUGCAUAGAGAUAUACCGCCGCUUAUGCGGUAAGGGUGGAAAGGCGAGGUAAGAGCUCACCGGGUUGUCGGUAACGGCAAUGCCAAGUAAACCCUACCCGAUGCAACAUCGAGCGAAGUUGUCAGCUGGGCAGAUACUUCAAAGGAUGGCUUGAGCUUAUCGGUAACGGUAAGCGUAGAUAGAUAAUUGCUUUCAAUGACAGAACUCGGCUUACAGAUUUACUCACAAU